rnacentral:rRNA from 1 species
UACGUAGGGCGCAAGCGUUAUCCGGAAUUAUUGGGCGUAAAGAGCUCGUAGGCGGUUUGUCGCGUCUGCCGUGAAAGUCCGGGGCUCAACUCCGGAUCUGCGGUGGGUACGGGCAGACUAGAGUGAUGUAGGGGAGACUGGAAUUCCUGGUGUAGCGGUGAAAUGCGUAGAUAUCGGGAGGAACAUCAGUGGCGAAGGCGGCCUUCUGGUCCAGUACUGACACUCAAGUGCGAAAGCGUGGGGAGCAAACAGG